UCCCCCUUCAGAUCUAGAGGCUGCAAAUUCCCCAGACGCUCUAGGGCUUAUCAUUGUUGUCAGGAGAGGCAGGGCUUCUGACAAAAUGGGAAGUCUUCAAGGAAGUGGUGGAAAUUGAACAAGCUUAAUCAAGUUCAUGACUGAGACAAUGUUGUGUGGGAGGUCAUCCUGGCAGAGGGGCCUUUGUGAGCAGAGUCCCAGACAGGAAGCAGCGUGGCACUCUGAGGAAAUUCCAGGAGGCCCAUAUCCCACAGACAAAUAAUUUUAGGAGGGAAGAAGGGAGGUGGGAGGAACAGGGGGCAGGAGUCUGCUCAGGGCAGUCCAGGGUGCAGUGCCUAUAAUGUAGCAAGGACAUAUUGCAGAAUCUUCCAGACAGCGUGUGACCCGAUGUGCCUCUCUGGGAGAUUGCCUCUGUGGCAGCACGGGGAUGGAUCAAAAGGGAGGAUGCUGGAGGCAGGGAGGCCAGAGAGGAGUGUAUCUCCCUGAAUGGCCUGAAGUAUGCAGGUGAUGAAGUGGGGACCGUGUUAUUGGUGCUGUUUGUUUGCUGGGCAGCCACUAGACAUGCCAAGGAGCUGGAAGCAAGACGUCCUGGCGAGUGUGUCCUAGCUACGUGUCCCACCACGUGAGCUCAGCAACUCCGCACCCAACUUUCUGGAGUCGCUCCAUUGUCUUGGGGGUGACUUGUGGUUUAUAAACCACACUGCUGUUCCUUCAUAGGGGGAUACCCACACCACAGGGCAGGGACUUUGGAGUUGGGGUUGUUUCCUCUUGUUUGUUCAUAAAACACUAACAUCUGUUGCACCGAAGACAAAGUAGCGGACAAGUGCAGAAGCAAGAGUAUCAGAAAUGGCCUCUGGUCUUACCUCUGUCACUGUGUGUCUCUGGGCAGACUGACCAACCCCUCUGGGAUUUAGUUUCCUUUUAAAAUGAGGAGAUUAAAGAUUAAACUUUACUAAUAACUCAGAAAAGUUUCCCCCUAAUCAGUGGACUUCUUCCUUAAAGUACAAGCAUACAUGUAAAACUUUUAUGUAUAUGGCAAACCAAAACAAGGCUGCUGGAAUUGUAGCUGGGGUUCACCUUGUUUGGCUCCUUUACCCCUGAGAUGGCCCAUGAGGUACUCAAGGGUUUAGGAGCAUUGAGAAUCUGUGAACUAGUGCACGAUUAUAUAGUAGUGUAGUGUUCACCUCUGGUGCCACGUUGUCUCAUGUUCGCCAUAACCCUGAGUGGCAGGUGGCUGGGCCAGGGUUGU
rnacentral:lncRNA from 1 species